rnacentral:rRNA from 1 species
CCUACGGGUGGCUGCAGUGGGGAAUAUUGCACAAUGGGCGCAAGCCUGAUGCAGCCAUGCCGCGUGUGUGAAGAAGGCCUUCGGGUUGUAAAGCACUUUCAGCGGGGAGGAAGGCGGUGAGGUUAAUAACCUCAUCGAUUGACGUUACCCGCAGAAGAAGAAGCACCGGCUAACUCCGUGCCAGCAGCCGCGGUAAUACGGAGGGUGCAAGCGUUAAUCGGAAUUACUGGGCGUAAAGCGCACGCAGGCGGUCUGUCAAGUCGGAUGUGAAAUCCCCGGGCUCAACCUGGGAACUGCAUUCGAAACUGGCAGGCUAGAGUCUUGUAGAGGGGGGUAGAAUUCCAGGUGUAGCGGUGAAAUGCGUAGAGAUCUGGAGGAAUACCGGUGGCGAAGGCGGCCCCCUGGACAAAGACUGACGCUCAGGUGCGAAAGCGUGGGGAGCAAACAGGAUUAGAUACCCGUGUAGUC